UUCGUUAGUGCAGAAGACAGACUGCGUCUCAGACGUCGGGUCGUUUGCAUAGCGAGG
rnacentral:pre_miRNA from 1 species